GCUUGCGUAGCUUAAUGGGAGAGCACCACUUCAAAUUUGGAGGUUGAACAGGUUUCAAGUGGAAACCCGAGUUCGACUCUCGGCGCAAACA